CGGACGGGUGAGUAAUGUCUGGGAAAUGCCUGAUGGAGGGGGAUAACUACUGGAAACGGUAGCUAAUACCGCAUAACGUCGCAAGACCAAGAGGGGGACCUUCGGGCCUCUUGCCAUCGGAUGUGCCCAGAUGGGAUUAGCUAGUAGGUGGGGUAAAGGCUCACCUAGGCGACGAUCCCUAGCUGGUCUGAGAGGAUGACCAGCCACACUGGAACUGAGACACGGUCCAG
rnacentral:rRNA from 1 species